UUUUUUUUUUUUUUUUUUUUUUUUAGCCUCACUGCCACCAUGUUUCUCAGAUCCUCCCGUUAUGAAUGGUCUCUGAGUCUGGUCAGCGGAUAGCAUCUAUUCAGAAACCUGGAGAUUUUCAUCUCCCCGGGAUAGAGAAUGAGCAAAAUCCCGGACUGGAAUCAUGGAAGUUGAAUGUGAUAGGGGGUUUCCUUAGCAUCACUGGGGCCCCAUCCCUCCCCACAUACCCAUGGUCCUAUGGAAAUAUCCUGCCAACAGUAUUUUUAUGUGUCAAAUUUUAUUUUCUUGCCCCUCCUCCUUUUUCCUACCGCGGUAACCACUCCUUGGAGGUUGGUGUGCAUUAUUGUCGUGUGUAUUCUUUUUAACACGUAUAAAUUAUCUAGCAUCAUUGGUAAAUUUAAAGCUCACAUAUAUUGUAUUACACCAUAUGCAUUCUCUUAUAACUUGUUUUCUUUUUGUUCCCAUGUUAUAGGUUUGAGAUUUAUCCAUGUAUUGAUUCCUAGAGAUCUAGUUUCUUCACUUCUUACACAGUGGCAACAGUUUAUCCAUUGCCUUCCUGGUAGAUACUAAGGUGCUUCUACUUCCUGCUCUUGUAAACAGAGCAGCCAUGAACACUCUUCUUCAGCUCCCCUUGCACACAUGUGAGAAUUUCCCCAGGUCUAGGGCAUGCUUAGAGGGCAACUGCUGCUCCUAAGGUGGGCGUGUCUUGUACUGGGUUUGGCAACUUGCUUUCCAAGGUGCCUGAACCAAUUUCCAUUCGUCCAGUGCUGUGGGGGUGUUCUGUUGCCCCAAGUCCCCACUGGUGAAUGCUUUCAUCAGAUUUACCAAAACGUCUUAACCUGGCAGGUGUGAAAUGGCAGGCCUUUGCUUCUCUGUGAUUGCUGGGAAAGUUAAGCACUUUUUCAUGUAUUUGUUAUAUGAAACACACGGUCUUUGGCAUAUUUUUUCCUCUGACUCUUGGGACUGUGGGGGAGAGGUGAUUCUUUUUUCAUUGAUUUUUAGAAACUCUUUAUGUAUUCUGAAUACAGAUAUUGUAGUGUGAGUUGAAAGUAAGGGCCAACUGUAAAUUACGUAUGGAUUUUUGGUGCUCCCCAUGGCCCCGUGUUCAGAGAUCAACUGUAGUUUGUGGUAGGCUAAUGAGCUAAUGGACCGAGGCAGUUCUUAUUUAUUGAGGUGUUAUCAGGACAGGCUUUCCAUAUAUGAUUUUUUUUCUUUGAAUCUUUGUUUUGCCUUUUAAAAAUACCCCCAUGGGACUACGCCUUUUCCUUCGUGGUUCUCCAUACCCACUUCAUUUGGGGCUUCAGUAGCGAGUUGCUGCUGCCACCACCCACAUCACAGGAGGACACAAGCCUGGCCACUUCCAGUUCGGAGUGUCAUAAGUUCCCAUGACCUAAAAGAUUAAAGACUAGCCCACCAGCACCCACCAGCACGUGUUUAAUUAGCAGCCAUCCUCCCCAAGUGGAGACAGGUUUCUCCUGAUCCAGAAGCAAGUUGUGUUCAUUACAAACCCCACCCAAAGCAUAAUUCUAUCCACCAAGAAAGAGACACUUACUCGAAACACUCUGUCAUAGAUCCUGCUAAGUCACAUGUGUGACCGUGUGAGUAUCAGAUAACAAAAGUGAUCAUAAAGUGAUUUAGGUUGUACCUUUUUCACUCAAUACUUUGGAAAUCUCUUUCUGGGCUGACAUAUUCCUAUAGUGUCAGCUUUAAUGACUAGGUUUCCUUUGUUUCUUGAAGGUUUGGGAAGAUUAUUAUUGGAAAAGCGCUUUCCUUUUUUUUUUUUUUUUUGAAGCCGACUUUAAGUGAACAUGGAUAUUUGUGAAUAUCUUGAGCUACUUCCUUGUGAGGGGGGAAAAAAAAUCCCAAGACUUGGAAUUAUUGGGUCAAAGCCAUGUUCAUUUCAAAGACUUUGGUACAUAGCCCCAAACUGUUCAGUGUGGUAUGGGGGGGAGUGUCUGGUUCCCUCAUCCCUGUGUCUUGCAAUGAGCACUUCCUGUGAAUUGGGGGUGCAGAAAUGAUUGGGGUGCUCUCAGUCUCGGGCCUCAUCAUCUGGGGGCAGAGGCGGGGGACCAGGAAGGUGUCCCGCUCCAGACCCAAGGGGGCGGUCCCUGGGAGGAAGGAGGCAGGUCUCCAGUUAAGGGAGGUGACAAGUAACCGAAGUUCUCUUGGGAUGGUAUGUGUAGCUCCUCUCACCACACGUUAGUUUUCUGUCUAAACUAUAUCCAGUGGGUACUUUGACAGAAAGUGCAGGCCCGCCGGUAUUUGAGAUGAGUCACGAAACCUCUUGUGUUUCAGUUUCCACCCCUGUCAAGCAGGAAUAAGAACCACCCCAGCCUUAUCUCUCUCCCAGAUGUCAGAUUCAAGUCAUGGGAUGGAUGGAAAAGUGACUUGCAGACUGUAAGGUUCUGUUACAGAUAUUGUAUAAACAGCAUCGCUGAUGUUGUCCUUGGGUGUGCACAAGGGCGUCAGAUGAAACACAGCUCCCAGAGGACGUUAAAGAGGAUGCUGGUCCUGCAGUGAGACCUCGCCCACGCAGCAGGAGUGGGGGCAGCCACCAAGCCCUAGAACCAUCCUCCGCAGGGCAAAGUGGGGAGAGCACAGCUCUGCUCUCACACAGCCAGGGUUCAACUCCCAGCUCUGCCACUUUACCAGCCCUGUGAUGUCAGACAAGUGACUUAACGUCCCUGCGCUGCAGUUUCUGCAUCUUUAAAAUCUAGAUGCCUGUAGAGUCCUUGUGAGAAUGAGAGGAAAUAAGGCAUAUAAAGUGCCUAACCCAGGACCUGCUACAGUAAAUGCUUAAUUCUGUAAGCUUUUAUUUUCAGCAUGUUAAUCCUUGUGGGGAAAACUGUUAGAACAG
rnacentral:lncRNA from 1 species